rfam:Schistosoma haematobium scaffold163_71, whole genome shotgun sequence.
AUCCGGCUGACGAGUCUCAAAUAGAACGAAAUACGCGUCAUGAAU